rnacentral:rRNA from 1 species
UCAAGCUACUAAGGGUAUACGGUGGAUGUCUUGGCAUCGAGAGGCGACGAAAGACGCGACAGCCUGCGAAAAGCUCCGGGGAACUGGCAAAUAAGUGUUGAUCCGGAGAUAUCUGAAUCGGGAAACCGGGCUGGGGUAAACUCCCAGUCACUUCUGGUUGAAUGUAUAGACCAGAUAGAGCAAACCCAGGGAACUGAAACAUCUAAGUACCUGGAGGAAAAGAAAAAGACAUUGAUUCCGUAAGUAGCGGCGAGCGAAAGCGGACAUAGCCCAAACCGGGAUUCGUCCCGGGGUUGCGGAAGCACUGAGGGGUUACAAAACCAUUCCUAGCUAAACUGUCUGGAAAGUCAGACCACAGAGGGUGAAAGUCCCGUAGGCGACAGGAAUAGGUCCCCGUUAAUAUGUGCUCUCCAGAGUAGCACGGAGCUCGUGGAACUCCGUGCGAAGCUGGCCGGCCCACCGGCCAAGGCUAAAUACUACUCGAUGACCGAUAGUGAACUAGUAGGGCGAUUGAAUGAUGAAAAGCACAGCUAUUAGCUGAGUUAAAAGCACCUGAAACCGUAUACUUACAAGCGGUCGAAGCACUAUGGCCCACGGGUUAAACCGUGGUGCAAUGUGUGACGGCGUACCUUUUGCAUAAUGGACCGGCGAGUGUAUGUCUGCAGCAAGGCUAAGUUGUCAAGCAACGGAGCCGUAGCGAAAGCGAGUCUAAAAUGGGCGUAUAAGUUGCAGGCUUACGGCCCGAAACCCCGUGAUCUACCCGUGGCCAGGUUGAAUGUCCCGUAAAAGGGACAGAAGGACCGAAGCCGUGAACGUUGAAAAGUUCUGGCAUGAGCUGCGGGGAGGAGUGAAAGUCUAAUCAAACGGGGAGAUAUCUGGUUCUCUUCGAAAUGCCUUUAGGGGCAGCCUUCGGCAACUACUCAUUGGGGGUAGAGCUACUGAAAGGAGACGUGGGGCUACCCGCCUACACGCUCCUACCAAACUCCGAAUACCAAUGAGACUAUCCGAGGAGUGAGUCCGCGAGGGAUAAUCUUCGCGGUCAAAAGGGAAACAACCCUGAUCGUCUGCUAAGGUCCCAAAAUCUAGCUUAGUUCGGUAGGAAGUUAUUGUUCUGAGACAGCCAGGAUGUUGGCUUAGAAGCAGCCACCAUUUAAAAAGUGCGUAAUAGCUUACUGGUCGAGAACAGUAGCGCCGUAAAUGAUCGGGAAUAAGCAAGAUACCGAAGCAACGGGUCCCGAGUAAUCGGGACGGUAGAAGAGCGUUGUACUCCGCGUUGAAGCCAUAUCGUGAGAAGUGGUGGAGCGUGUACAAGUGAGAAUGCCGGUAUGAGUAACGAUAAUGCAGGUGAAAAUCCUGCACGCCGAAAGCCUAAGGGUUCCUGGGGAAGGUAAAUCCGCCCAGGGUUAGUCGGAAGCUAAGACGAGGCCGAAAGGCGUAGUCGAUGCACAGCAGGUUAAUAUUCCUGCACCGGCUGUGAAGGUUGAACCUCUGCAUGUGUCCUUUCAAGGCAGAUCCUCCGAUUAGACGUGGAGGUUUCGCAAGAUCGAGGCCGUUUUGUUGCCGAAGUCUGUGGAGAAAGGGCCGAGAAAAGUGCAGAGAUGACGACACAGUUGCCCGUACUAAAACUGACACAGGUAGGCGAGGAGAAUAUCCUAAGGCGCUCGAGAGAACUGCGGUUAAGGAACUAGGCAAAAUAACCCCGUAACUUCGGGAUAAGGGGUCCCUCCUCAAUUUAUUGAGAGGGCACAGUAAGUGGCCCGGGCGACUGUUUAUCAAAAACACAGCUCUGUGCUAACUCGCAAGAGGAUGUAUACAGAGUGACGCCUGCUCGGUGCGGGAAGGUUAAGGAAGUAGGUCAAGGUUUCGACCUGAAGCUUACAACCGAAGCCCCCGUAAACGGCGGCCGUAACUAUGACGGUCCUAAGGUAGCGAAGUUCCUUGUCGGGUAAGUUCCGACGCGCAUGAACGGCGUAACGACUUGGGCGCUGUCUCAACCGCAGACUCGGUGAAAUUGAAGUGGCGGUGAAGAUACCGUCUACCCGCAGCAAGACGGAAAGACCCCAUGCACCUUUACUAUAACCUGGUACUGAUGCCGGUUGCGAACUGCGUAGGAUAGGUGGGAGGCGUUGAUCCCCUGGUCCCGGCCAGGGGGGAGCCAACGGUGAAAUACCACCCUGUUUACAUUCGUCAUCUCACCCUGUCCCAUGAAUCUGGGCAGGGAACCGUGCUAGGCGGUUAGUUUGACUGGGGCGGUCUCCUCCAAAAGAGUAACGGAGGAGUGCAAAGGCAAGCUCAGAACGGUUGGCAAUCGUUCGUCGAGCGCAAAGGUAGAAGCUUGCUUGACUGCGAGUGCUACAGCACAAGCAGAGAUGAAAGUCGGUCUUAGUGAUCCUGUGGUCCCGUGUGGAAGGGCCAUAGCUCAACGGAUAAAAGGUACGCUGGGGAUAACAGGCUGAUCGCCUCCGAGCGUCCAUAGCGGCGAGGCGGUUUGGCACCUCGAUGUCGGCCCAUCGCAUCCUGGGGCUGAAGGCGGUCCCAAGGGUUUGGCUGUUCGCCAAUUAAAGCGGUACGCGAGCUGGGUUCAGACCGGCGUGAGCCAGGUCGGUCCCUAUCUGCUGUGGGCGUAGGAUUCUUGACGGCACCUCUUCCAUAGUACGAGAGGAUUUGGAAGGACGGACCCCUGGUGUACCAGUUGUCGCGCUAGCGGCAUCGCUGGGUAGCUAUGUCCGGAACGAAUAAACGCUGAAAGCAUCUAAGCGUGAAGUCUAUGCCAAGACAAGGAAUCCAUGGUCCCGAUUUAUCGGGACCGAGAGACCCCGAAUAGACCAUUCGGUUGAUAGGCCGGAGCUGUACGUGCCGAAAGGUAUUAAGGUUACCGGUACUAACGGUCGAUUGCUUGACCAC